UCCUGCUGGGUUCAUGGGCCAUGAGCCAGACACAUGGGGUCACUGAGGGUCAGCCUUCAGGACAGGAAGUUUUCCUCGGGGAUCCAACCUGAAUCCCUACCAUGGAGGGAUGGGUUGGUCCUCCAGAGGGUGGCUUCCUGGGGAAUCUGACCCCAGAAGGACACCUUCACUGAAGCCCUGCAGGGGUGAUGGUGGUCCAGGCUGGAAAGGUUUCCUUCAGUCUCAUGCGGGGCAGCUCCCUGCUGACAUUCCGUGCCCGCAUCUGAAAUCGAGGACUGCCCUGGACACAUGAGCGGGGCAACAGGGGCUCCAGGGUGCCACGGGGAUUAUGCAGGGGCUCUCCAUCCCCAGAGAAAGAUAGUGAACCUGGAAGAAGACUCUUCUUGGGUCCCCUGGCCCCAAGCCAAUGUCCAUCAGCCAGAUGCCAGACCCUGGUGCACUGAAGCUCAUGCCCUUCCUGGUGCCCUGGUCUCCUGCACUGAGCUGUGUGAGCUCUUUCACUCAGCAGACUCCCUGGCAUUGACUGGCAUAGAUGGUGAGCCUGGAGGAAGACUUGCAUUGGGCCCAAUGGCCCUGGGCCAGUGUCUGUCAGCCAGGUUCCCAGCCCCCGAUGUGCUGAAGCUCAGGCCUUUCCUGGCACCCUGGUCUCCUGCACUGAGCUGUGUGAGCUCUUCUGCCCAGGCGGGCCUCCUGGAAUUGACGGGCAAUGGGGAGAGCCAACAGUGUACCGCGUACUUAACGAGUCAGUAUUUCACAUUGAACUCAUCACAUGUGUCCAUGGAGGGUGAGCAAAGUGAGCUCUUCUGCCCAAGUGACCCCCCUAGCCUUGAGCGGCAUAGAUCUUCCACCCAGGAGGUCCCCCUGGCAUUGACUGACAUAGUGAGCUCUUCUGCCAAGGGGGUCCUCCUGGCAUUGACCAACAUAGAUGGUGAGCCUGGAGGAAGACUUGCAUUGGGCCCAAUGGCCCUGGGCCAGUGUCUGUCAGCCAGGUUCCCAGCCCCCGAUGUGCUGAAGCUCAGGCCUUUCCUGGCACCCUGGUCUCCUGCACUGAGCUGUGUGAGCUCUUCCAAGCAGGCAGGCUCCCUGGCAUUGACCGACAUAGAUGGUGAGACUGGAGGAAGACUUCCAUUGGGCCCACUUUUCAUGGGCCAGUGUCCAUCAGCCAGGUGCCCAGCCCCUGAUGUGCUGAAGCUGAGGCCCUUCCUCCCACCCUGGUCUCCUGCACUGAGCUAUGUGAGCUCUUCUGCCCAGGUGGGGCCCAUGGCCUUACGCGACAUAGAUGGUGAGCCUGUAGGAAGACUUGUGUUGGGCCCCCACAGGCCCCAGGCCAGCAUCCAUCAGCCUGGUGCUCAUCCCCCAGUGCGCUGGAGUUUGGACCCUCCCUGGCACCCUGGUCUCCUGCACUGAGCAGUGUAAGCUCUUCCACCCAGGUGGACCCCCUGGCAUUGACUGGCGUAGAUGAUGAUAUGGAAGAAGAGCACUCUUUGGCCUGUUGCAACUGGGACAGUUGACAGCAUCCAGGUAUUCUGUAAUGUGAAUGCUCUUGACACCAAUGCAUCCUAGCAUCAGAGCUUCAGGAAGCCUUCUCAAGUGUGCAUGGGGAGUACCAUGUCUUUCAUCAAUCAUGAAACCUUCUAAUGUCUUGUAAGACAUGCUGCCAAGAAAUGUGCCAUUCUGUUAUAAAGGAUCAGUAGCUUCCUUUACCGACGUGUAUAUUCUAUCUAGGACAUUGAGCUAUGGAAGACUCCCACCUAAGGGAAUUAGUUUUACACCUUCAGAAAAGACUGUGGAGGAAGAAAACCCUUUACCCUGUUGUUCAGGGAGAAACUGACACCACUCAACUGCCUGGCACUGAAAAUGUGGCAUCCAGUCCACUUUACCACCAGUGUUUAAGGAAACCAUCUCUGAUAAGGAUGAUUGAGGAAGAGUACUCUUUGGCUUGUUGACACCAGCACAGCUGACACACCCAGAUAUCUGUUUGGUCUCCUGUGAACUUUCAACCAGGAUUUAAGGAUGCCACUCUGGUUAAAAGCUGAAACAACUUCAAGGAAGCUUCAGGGAAAACAGAAGGCCUGGAAUCUGAUCCUCCACUUCAGAGAAUAGGGGGACAUUCCAUUAAAUAGUAACGAAAAGGCAGCAAAAGUAAGAGGAGUGACAACAUGCCCAGCAUAAUUAAGCAAGCUAGAGCAGCUACUCUGUGCAACUGAUGAUUUUUUUCCUCUAAAAUUUUAAGGGUAGGUUCAUUUUGACUGUUAAAAGUCUACUUGACGUGAAUUCUAUAUCUGAUAACCUAUUUCAAUUACCACUUUAAAACUUGUCAUAUGGAUACAUUAUUACAAUUGUAGAACUUUAAUACCAUAAUAAUAAAACUUGAGAACUGAAGAGCACACAUUUCUUCACGAAUUUAUUAUAUAAAACGCCCUCAGAGUAAUUUCUCCUCACUUUAAUUACACAUUAAGAAGCACAGUGGAUGAGAAGCCUUUAAGAUGACUACAGUUGCACGAAGGUCCCUUUCAUCAAGGUAGCGUACGUACCUUAACAGUGUUCUAAAGGCUGGCCCAGAAAAACCCCAUGUUACCUUAUCACAAUAUGGAAAGCAUUGUCUUCUUUUUCCACUAAAUUAUGGUGAAAAGUGCCACAGUUUUAUUUAGCAUUAUGGUACAUAACAGUUCUGUCUCAAUUAUGAAAAAAAUUAAAAUAAUCCUGAAAGACAUCCUUUUUCUCCCCCCAAUGAUUUGAAAGCUGCAUUUUUCCUGCCAAUUUCAAACAAAUCAUCAGGUUGAUCUACAGUAAUCAGUUAAAACAAUCAAUCAAUCACCAAGGCACAAGCUCAGCACAUUAGCUAUAGCUUGUAGCAAAAGGAUAUAUCAAUGUCUCACCUUAGUUAAAAAUACAUAAUCCUUUUAUUUUAUAAUGCAAUAAAAGAAAUAACAUCACAUACACAGAAGACUAGGAAAGGGGAAACUACUUACUUCUGGAAAUCAGUAAUGUAAACCUACUUGUACUUUUCCAUAGUACAUGAAAGUAAUGUUUAACAUGUUUUGAAUUAAAUUUAACCUGUGGGGCUAUACAAUGUAAUUCUUAGGAGUAACAGUUUCAUUCAUUUCCAGGUCAGCUUACUGUAUGAUAUUAAGUAACACAAGGCACAGUAGCCAUCUUUUUUUCAUUAUGUUGCAACACUGAUCACGUGCCUCGAUAAAAUGGCUGAUUCAACAAGAUGAUGGCAACACGAAGGGGAGACUUUGGAUUGUCUAUUUAAAAUCUAGG